GACGAACGCUGGCGGCGUGCUUAACACAUGCAAGUCGAACGGAAAGGCCCUGCUUUUGUGGGGUGCUCGAGUGGCGAACGGGUGAGUAACACGUGAGUAACCUGCCCUUGACUUUGGGAUAACUUCAGGAAACUGGGGCUAAUACCGGAUAGGAGCUCCUGCUGCAUGGUGGGGGUUGGAAAGUUUCGGCGGUUGGGGAUGGACUCGCGGCUUAUCAGCUUGUUGGUGGGGUAGUGGCUUACCAAGGCUUUGACGGGUAGCCGGCCUGAGAGGGUGACCGGCGACAUUGGGACUGAGAGAGGGCGCAGACGGCUACGGGAGGCAGUAGUGGAGAAUAUUGCACAGUGGGCGGAAGCCUGAUGCGGCAGCGCCGCGUGCGGGAAGACGGCCUUCGGGUUGUGAACCGCUUUCGCCUGAGACGAAGCGUGAGUGACGGUAAUGGGUGAAGAAGCACCGGCUAACUACGUG
rnacentral:rRNA from 1 species